GGGCCUAUAGCUCAGUGGUAGAGCACAUGCUUGGCGUGCGUGAGACCGGGUUCAAUCCCCAGUGCCUCUG
rnacentral:tRNA from 1 species